rnacentral:rRNA from 1 species
CGGAACGGGUGAGUAACGCGUGAGGAACCUGCCUCAAAGAGGGGGACAACAGUUGGAAACGACUGCUAAUACCGCAUAAGCCCACGGGUCGGCAUCGACCAGAGGGAAAAGGAGCAAUCCGCUUUGAGAUGGCCUCGCGUCCGAUUAGCUAGUUGGUGAGGUAACGGCCCACCAAGGCAACGAUCGGUAGCCGGACUGAGAGGUUGAACGGCCACAUUGGGACUGAGACACGGCCCAG